rnacentral:lncRNA from 1 species
CACCUGGCACCUGGCGGCAGCGCACCUGUAGCCGGGACCGCGGGGGACGCCGGGGCCUGCACCUCCGCCCCGCGCCCCAACUUCCCCGAGCUUGUUGAGGGGUCCGGGCCCGGCGUGGGCUGAGGGUCUACGUUCCUGCCACGCGCCAGGUGCGCGGGCACCUGGUCGGGUCCUAUGCAUCCCGGUGCCACUGGUGGGAACAAAGGAGGUCGGGGCAGUGCAGCCUUGGUGGCUGUCUGCAGACAGGCGAGUCCAAGCGAGGCCCGCGUCCCACCUGUCAGCUCUGUGACUUUGAUCAGAUGUCUAAUCUCUCUGUGCCUCAGUUUCCUGACUUGUGAAAGGAUGGCCUUGAACUUGGGGUGAUCCUCCUGCCUUCACCUCCUGGGUGCUAGGAUUACAGUUGUAAGGAUGACAUACACAGCCCUGUGCAUCACAACAGCCAGAGAAGCCAGCACAACCAAGAUUUGGCUCAUGGUCUCUGUUCAUGGAUUCUCUCAGACUUGGUCCAAUUAUGGGAAGCUGAGCCAGAAGGAGCAGGGAAGGAAGACAGGAAAGGAAGAAAGGAAGGACAGAAAGUAUCAUACUAGGAUGGGAUGCAGUGAUCCCCAGUGCUGCAUACAGAAUGGACAAUAAAGAGUUCAUCUUCAAUCUCAAAACUCCCUGUGCCCAGUAGGCACAUAGUAGCUAGGAGUUAAUUUGUUAAAUAAACAACUCCAUCAAGAGUUAGAGACAUAUUCUCGAAUCUUGCUAUCACAAUAGUAGCUCGCCCCCCUAGAAUCUGUGUAAACCUCCUUCAAAACCAAUUACAUUUUCACUUUGCACUGGUGCUCAGCAUAAUCAGCCCAAGGAACUGACUUCCCUCUGAAUGGCUGUGAUUCUACAAGACAGGCUUGGGAAGAAGCGCUGAUCCAGAGUGAGGGCCUGGGACUGAUGGUCAUCUGGUGUGGGACUUGGGCUCGUUUCUGCUGAUGGGCAGUUCUGUGAGCUUAGGUCCAUUGCCAACCUCUCUGAACUCCGCUG